ensembl:lncRNA
GCUCAGGCUUCUCCUUGCAGUGGCUUCUCUUGUUGCAGAGCACGGGCUCUGAGGCAUGCGGGCUCAGUAGCUGGGACACAUGGGCUCAGUAGCUGCGGCUCCCGGGCUCUAGAACGCAGGCUCAAUAGUAGCGGCGCACGACCUAGCUGCUCCUUGGCAUGUGGGAUCUUCCUGGAUCAGGGGUGGAACCUGUGUCUCAUGCACUAGCAGGCGGAUUCUUUACCACUGGGCCACCGGGAAGCCCCAGGGCCCUGUACAGUGGAUAAAUAUUUGUUGAAUGAAAGCAAGAAUGAAGACACUGCCUUAGAAUGUGGCAAGUGUACAGUGGAUCGUGUGUUACAGUGAUCUCCCUCUGGGACCCUGGCGCUCUUUCCUUCCUCCUCUAAGCAUUGUUGGCUGCUGCUGGCUCUCAGCUGAGCCCCUCUCUAGGAAUUGCCUUUGGUGGGAGAAAACAGCCUCAUUCAAGAUCAUGUUCCCUUCUCAAGGGCCACUCUUGACUGGGCAAUGGAAGGUAUGAAGGCCUGGCCUCUGGGUCUCAAAGUGGGGCAAGUCUGAAUGGCCAGUUCAGCUCCAGAGCUCCUGUGAGUGAGUGAUAGUCUCUCAGCCAUGGCCGACUCUUUGCGACCCUAUGGACUAUAGUCUGCCAGAUACUUCUGUCUGUGGACGUCUCCAGGCAAGAAUACUGUAGUGGGUUGCCAUUUCUUUCACCAGAGCUCCUGUAGGGCUGGCCUGAAGCUUUUAUGUGACUUUAUCACAGUUCAGCUUCUUCCUCGGGCCAGUCCUGCUUCCUUUAGGUGCUGAUCCUGAGAGCACCCCACGAUAAUCUUCCUGUAUGUGAAUUUCCAUUUCAAUGUCUGUUUCUAGGAAUCUGGCUAAAAUAUAAGUGCAAACUGUUAAGAGAUUUUGGAAAAGACCCUGGUGCUGGGAAAGAUUGAGGGCAGGAGAAGAAGGGGACGACAGAGGAUGAGAUGGAUGGCAUCAUCGACUCGAUGGACAUGGGUUUGAGUGGAUUCUGGGAAUUGGUGAUGGACAGGGAGGCCUGUGUGCUGCGGUUCAUGGGGUCGCAAGGAGUAGGACAUGACUGAGUGACUGAACUGAACUGUUAGGGAUUAUAGGGGAGGGACUAUCAGGUGAACCUUGGGCAUUUGGUGAAGCAGCCGACAGUACUGGGAAUGGAGGAGAGGAUGGGAAUUUGGGCAAAGGGUGGCAGGGGCUUGCUAGAGAAUGUAGGGAAGGAUGUGGUUUGGGAAGAGCUGGAGCAAAGUGGGGGUGCAGAGCUCCUGAGACAGGGAAGUCAUGCCCCUUGCUGUGAUGAGAUAGAUGCUUCCCACUUGCUGUUGCUCUCGAUUUAUACUACUCCAUCCAUGGAAGCAGCCCAGCUAGAGAGACGUACAGACAGAUGAUUUGAUCCUGGGCUGGAGAGCUGGUGGGAUUUACCCAUAGCGAUGAGGAAGAGUAAGUGUAGAGUCAGGGAUCCCAGGGCACGAGAGGGUAGCAUGGCAUGUGAGUGGGGAUUCCUGGGUGGAGAAGAAUUCCAGAAUGUCGUGACUGUCUCUUUGGAGAGCUGACUCUGACUGACUUGGGUAGGGCUUACUGUAGCUCCUGGGGUCCCUUGACAUAAUGCCUGGGCAUCCACAGCCUGCAGGGAGUGGGAGGGACCAGGAUGUCUGCAGUAGCCAAGCAGGGUUAGCCAGGAUAACAUCUGCUCCUUUUCCGCAGGUGCCAAGGUUGGGGAAUGAAGCCAGUGAGGAGCAGGCUGCCCAGAGGGCAAAUGAGAUUGGAAGAGCAGAGGCUAAAAGGGAGGGCCCAAGGAGAGGACCAGGCAGAAGCAGACACCUCUGACAUUAUUUUCUUGGUUAGUGAUAUAAAAAGAUAGUUCUCCUCCCCUGCUCCCAGAGCUGCAAAAAUGAAAAGCAAGUAGCUAGCUUUCUAGAUGACUAAAGUUUUUGAUUAUGCUCAUUGCUUCUACCCAAUAUAAGUUUUGUGAAAUUAGAAUUGAAUCCAAAUAACACUGUAUAACUAAUAUAUGCCAGAAACUGUGCUAAGCAGCCUGGCUUCGUUUGCUAGUAAUUAUAAUUUGCUAGUAAUUAUAAUCAAAGAAGCAGUUCCUAAAAUAAUUAAAUUUAAUGAGAGAAGGAUAAACAGAAGUGCCGUUUGGUUACUGUUCAGUCAAUUGUUCUUACCUUGCUGUGGACAUUAGCUCAGUUGGCUCUUCUUUAGCAGUGAAUACCUAAUCUUUCAUGAAUUUAUGAAACAAAAUGUUAUUUGAUGUCUUUGUGGUGACAGACACUGUGUCAGGUGCUGGAAAUGUACGUGACCAGUAUGGUGGACUGCAAGGAGAUGAGCCUUUUAACAUCCGAGGACAAAAUAAUUUGUUUCUGGAUAUUAACUCUUUUAGAUUUGAGUAUCUUUUACUUUCAGGAGGAUUUCAUUUUUCCUAAAUUGAAGUACAAUUGAUAUACACUAUUAUGUUAGUUUCAGGUGUACAACACAAGGAUUCAACAUUUAAGAAUAUUAUGGAAUGACCACCACAGGGAAGGCUUGCUAUAUUUCAACCCAGCACCUGUGUCAGAAUAGAGAUGGCCUCAUAUCCCAGGCAGGGGUUGGGAAAGGCAGCUGCAAGCCCAGGCAAUUCCGUCUCCCAUCCACCUCCUUCUGGAGGCAGAGCUGGUGUACUUUCUCUGCUCCGCUAGGGGGACCCAAAUGCAAAGGAAAAAGCCUCUCCUGCCUCUAAAGGUAAGGGAUCCACAGCCCUCCAGAGGGGUGGGCAAUGCUCAGCCAACCUCAGUCCUUGAGCGCGUGCUCUCCACCCCCUCCCUCCCCCACCGCCCUGCUCUGGUCCUGCUUUCUCCUGGCCCGAUGGCAGCUUUUACAAUCAGGGCUAUUGGAGCAAUUUCCACCCUUGUGGGCACUGCUCAGUUCCUGGGAACCCUGCCGCUCCUGCCGGUGCUGACGUAUGGAUUUGCCUUAGGAGCAAAGAUGGAUUGGGAAGGGUUGCCAGCCUGGUGAUGAGGUUGCUCUGGUUUCAUUCACACGGGAAGCCCUUGAAAUCCGUAUCUAGUCCAUCAAAGAUGCUUCGUCUUCUCCAGCUCCCUUCUCUACCUCUGUAAAAUCAGGGGCCCUUACCCACAUUGAUAUUUCAGUGCGAGACCUUUCAGAGUUUAAUGCUUCCUGGUUUACAACAAGGCCUUGAGAACCAAGAUGUGGUUCUCACUAGGGCCACCUGACUUGCUGAGACUGAUAGAAUGAUCUGUUUUGACAACUAAUCUUACAGAGAUGUAUGUAUUUGUGAAAGGUUGGGCAGUUUUGUUUUAUUAUUAUUAGUAUUUUUAACACUAUGCUGUGGGGCACUUUUCCUCUUUUGAACAGCUUGCAAGCAUUUUGGCAGCAUUUGGGAAAAAUUCUCAAUUAUAUACUUUCUGCAAUAAAGUCUGAUAGCAAGUUAUUUCUUUUCUUUGAUCUGUAAUUAAACUGUUGGAUUCAGUUUUUGGUGUAGAGAUGUUAUCUCUUUCAAGAUCCGAACUUUUCCUUGGGGGAGAAUAAUAUAGAUGUUUUCAGUGAAACAUAUUUAAUAUUUUGGGGUUUAAAGAACUUUUAGAAAUAACUGCCAUAGAUAAAUUGGUCCAAACUGAGAAGAGGUUCAUGAUCUCCUCAUAUUAAAGUUGGAGUACACGCUUUUUUUUAAGCCUAAUGGGUAUUAAAGGCAAAUCAUUUCUUAGACUAUCAGCUUUAGAAGAGUCCUUAGAGAUUUUCUCAUUUAAAACUCACAUUUGAAAAAAAUAGAAAAAUAUAGUCAGUUUCAAAAUCAAGAAAAAAAGAAUUCAAACUUUCAAGGAAUAGUCACCGAUUUGAUUAUUGUAUCAUUCUAGUGUUGUCUUCCUAUGUUUACUGAAUAAAGUAGCUAAGAGUUUGAACUCUUCUCAUUAUCAAAAUAGUAAAAAUACUAAAAUAAGAAAAAAAACCACUCAUAUUUGGCAGAUGAGAAAACCUUGGUCCAGAGGGGCAAAUGACCUGGCUUAUCAUGGCUCUUCUGAUCCAGAAGGGCUCUGGACAUCACUGUUUGAAUUAUCCCAAAGAUUUUUGAUGUGAACUGAGGGUGAAAGUAUUUUUGUUCCCCCAUGACUUUUAAUUUUCCUUGAGUCUGCCAAGGAAGUGUCUGGAAUAAAGAAAGUAAAGCAGAGAGAGAGAGAAGAGAGAGGGCUUUGACCAUUGUGUGAUAAAGAUGUUCUGGUGACUCAGUGCCCUGUGACCUGCAAGAUGAUGUGAAGGGGAAGGGGUGAGUAACUCUGUCCAGGAGAACAAGAAGGGUCAGAAGAAUCUCUGGAAGGUCAUGUCCCAGCACAGAAGGCACACUCAUCAGGCUUGUUCAGUGGCUGUUUAGUGAGACCAUUAGGUAGUAGAUAGUGUGAGAUGCACUAGAAAACGCCAUCUGACGCUGUAUACAUCCUUCACAUUCUCCAGGCACUUUUCCACGCAUGCCUCGUUUCCCCAUUUGACACCUCCUGUAUCAGCCAAAGUUCCUGAGGACUCUGGCUCACUUGAACAUGGUGAGGACUGUUUUGGAAAGAAGCAAGUGGGUCAUGCCAUGAUAGUUCCCAGAGAUGAGGGAGCAGAAACACAAGGUCAGUUUCUUCAGAGCUCUGUCUUUGCCUUGCCUUGUCUCUAAGUAAUUUCAGUUUAUGUUAGUCUCCUUAGGAUACCCAUUCCAGGGUGAGAGUGUCUGGUGAGCACAGCCUGGAACACAUGGGCCCUCCUUGACCAAGGAUAUAACUGAGGCAUCUUGAUGUGUAAGUCCUUCUGUGCUAUGCUAUGCUAUGCUAAGUCAUGUCAGUUGCAUCUGACUCUGUGCCACCCCAUAGACGACAGCCCACCAGGCUCCCCCAGCCCUGGGAUUCUCCAGGCAAGAACACUGGAGUGGGUUGCCAUUUCCUUCUCCUAUGCAUGAAAGUGAAAAGUGAAAGGGAAGUCGCUCAGUCAUGUCUGACUCUUCGCGACCCCAGGCUCCUCCAUCCAUGGGAUUUUCCAGGCAAGAGUACUGGAGUGGGGUGCCACUGCCUUCUCCGUAAGUUCUUCUAGGCUGUAUCCAAAGCUGGAAUCUAGAAAAAUGGUACUGAUGGACUUAUUUUCAGGGCAGAAACAGAGACACAGAUGUGGAGAGCGGACUUGUGGACCCAGCAGGGUAAGGAGAUGGGGGGACAGAUCGAGAGAGUAAGACUGACGUAUAUACACUGCCAUAUGUAAAGUAGCAAGCUAGUGGGAAGCGGCUGUUAUAGCGCAGGGAAGUCAGCUCGGUGCUCUGUGGUGACCUAGAGGUUG